UACAGAGGUCUCAAGCGUUGUUCGGAAUCACUGGGCGUAAAGGGUGCGUAGGUGGCGUGGUAAGUCAGAUGUGAAAGCCCGGAGCUCAACCUACGGAACGUAGCAUCCGACUACUGCCACUGCUAGAGAACUGAAGAGGAGUGUAGAAUUCUCGGUGUAGCAGUGAAAUGCGUAGAUAUCGAGAGGAAUACCAACGGCGAAGGCAGCACUCUGGGCA
rnacentral:rRNA from 1 species